AGCGUAGCAAGGUCUUAUGCUGGGAACUGGACGUUGGAGAUGAACCAGACAGGGCUUCCCAGCACCUAGGAGCCAUGGGUGCCCAGGGGAAGCAUCAAACAGGAGUCAGGGGAGGUCUCUUGGAGGACGCGAUGCCUGAACUGAGUCUUGACAUUCUUUGGGUUGAGAGUAUGGAUGUGAACACAAAAUUAUCAAUUACCCACCUAGGCGCUUGUCUCGUUUGCUAGACCACGAUCUCCUUGAAGUAGGUAAACACAUGGAAUUUAUCUGUUUUCCUGCCUUUCUGCUUAACAUUGGAAAUGGCCAAGUGAGUUAAGUAUGGUAAAGGGCUUAGAACCAUGCCUUAUGUGUAGUAAAGAUUAUGUAAGUGCCAGCUGUUAUUCUUGUUGUCACUGCUGCUAUUGCUUUUAUAAUUAGCCAGAAUCAAUGUAUAUGGAAUAACUCAGGAAAUGAAAGAGUGAGGGAUGUGGUGGAAAGAGCCUCAGACCAGAGAUCAAAAGCUUGGACUUGAGUCCAGGCUUUGCCCCUAGUUAGCUGAGAUCCUCAGUUCAACUUCUAUAAAGUGGGGAUAAUUAAACCAUUCAGGCCCAGGUGUUAUAAUGGUUAGAGGAAAUUACAAAGCACACGUAUGAAGCAACAGGCGUAUGGUAGAUGCUCAGUGUGAAUUCUGUUUACCUUUCUUGUCUUAUGGUGCUGAGACACUUAGCACAGGACUGUGUGCAUGUAUGUACUCAAUAAAUAUCUGUUAAUGAAUUGAUAAGUAAUAUUCCCAUUAUUUAAAGAAUAUUUGUCAUGGGACAUGUUCACUGUCUCAGACAAACUCUUAGCCAGGAAUGGGAAAUAUAUGCUGUAUGAACCUCUGCUCCCCACUCACUCACCCAAGGCAGACAUUACUAAUCAAUGAUGGCACUCUGUGUUAGUCAGGACUCUUUUUGUUGGAAAUGACCAACCAGCUUGAGCAAAAGGGGGUUUGUUAUAUAGAUAAUGGAGUAACUCAGAAAACCAAAGAAGAAGCUGCAGGCAGCAGCGCAGCCCCUGGGCCCUCCUGGGAACCUCAUGGACCCCUCUCUCCCCCUCUUCAUUUCUCCUCUAGGUAUCUGUAUGUUUGCAAGCAUUCUUUCAGGCAGGGCUCCUGGGGACAGCAGCUGGCAGCUCUGAAGUUACCUCCUUCCCAGUUCAUGAUUCAGAGGACUGGCAGCCCAGAGAACCACAUGAAGUCAGAGAGGAGCCAUUUUCCAGAAUAAAGGAGAAAGAGAAGCUGGAAAGACACCAGUGAUGAAGGUUCACUCCUGACCACAGAGCUGGGAUAGUGCCUCAGAAUCCUUCUCAACACAGUGCCCAAUCAGAAUCAGCACUCAAGACAAAAUCUACUUGAGAUUUAGACCAAGCCUACAUACAGGGAGGUUCAUGGCAUUGUAUGAACCUGCAGAGGAUUCUAUUGGAAACUAGCUGAGCCUGGGUUUGAAUCUGAGCUAUCAGGCCAGCAGGCAAGUCGCUGCACCUCUCCAAGCCUCAGUUUCCUCAUCUGGUACAAUGGACUGAAUGCUUGUGUUCCUCCACAAAUUCAUAUGCUGAAAUCCUAAUCCCCAAUGUGAUGGCAUUAGGAGGUGGGGCCCUUGGGAGGUGAUUAGGUCAUUAGGAUAGAAUCCUCACGGAUGGGAUUAGUGCCUUAUAAAAAGACAUAACAGAGCUUACCUUUUUUCUUUGUUCUAUGCCAUGUGAGGACACAAUAAUAAGAUGCCCAUCUGCAAACCAGGAAGGAGGACCUCUCCAGACACUGAAUCUGCUGCUGCCUUGAUCUUGGACUUCCCAGCCUCCAGAACUGCAAAACAUAAAUGUGUGUUGUUUAAGCCAGCCAGUCUAUGAUAGUUUGUUACAUCAGCUUGAGCUGGCUAAGACCUCUGGUAAGUGAGUAUAAUAAUGCCAAACUCAGAGGUUCUGUAAGGGUAGAUGAGACACUGUGUAAACUUCAGCACAAUCCCUGGAAGAUAGUCAACAUUCAAUAAAUGUUACCACUUUUCUGAGUGUGGGUUCCCUUAGAAGCAGACUCUGAGACUAAGAUUUCAAUGCAAGUGGUUUAGUCGGUAGGUAAUCCAGAAGCCAAGAAAAACACACAGGGAAGUGAGAGAGAGCAAUGAUGGUACUAAUGAGCAAGUUGCCACUGUGGGCAACUGAGGCUCAAUCCUGCUGGAGACCUUUGAGUGGUGGUUCCGCAACCCCCAUCCCACGAGGGGUGAGGGAGCUGGGGUAUUUAUGCACCAGCUGCCAUUGAUCACUAGUUGAGGGCUGCUCCUGGGCAUUCACUCCCAGGCAUUUCCAGCCUGCCCUUUGCUUGGGCUGAGCUUACUCCUGCAGGCAGAGAACCGCUGCAGGCAGAGUCACAGACUUCUUAUUGUUUGCAAUAAGAAGUCGCCAGCAGGAGGGCACUGACAGUGGCAGCAUCACUUCAGAUAUUAUCAAGGGAAUCCAUAAGUCUUACAGCACAGCACACACAGAGGGAUGAUCUUACCAAAGUGUUUCUUCUAGGGGAGCUGGAGUUAAAUGGCAUGGUCCUUCUUCAGUCCACAGGUCCUGGUACCCUGUUUGUCCUCUGAGUUCCUGACCUCAGUUUUUACCUGCCACAUGCAAGUUUUUUUCCUGGUACCAGAGUAUGCCAUUCUUCACCUCUGAUCUAGGCAGAGCUCUAGCUCCCUGGAGAGCAGGAGCUUUCUUCACUGGGCAAGCUGGAGGCUGACUAUUUCCCCAGUACUGAGGCAAACCCAGAAGAGUGCUGACUUCUGGAGCGUCCAUGCUGAGCUCUUGGAGGCCAAGUGCUAGGCAUUCAACCAAUGCAUAAACAGGGCAUUUGUACAACAAAUAAGGUCAGUCAUAGAUCCCACACACCCCUUAUAUUCUUACCCAGCCAUUCAUUUCUGGGCUGCCUUCUUCUAACCAACCUUCAUCCACAUGAACUAGGUGCUGCCUGGCUUCUUCCAGAUCCUCCCAGGACAUCUAGUUUUUUUCUUUAAUAUAGUAUGUAUUUAGAGACACUUCAUAUAAAAUAAAAGUCAUGAUUUUAAAGUGUAAACUUCAGUGGUUUUUCGUACAUUCACUAUGUUGUGCAGCCAUUACCACUAUCUAAUUCCAGAACAUUUCCAUCCUCCCCAAAGAAAUCCCAUAUCCUUCAGCAGUUAGUCCCAAUUCUCCUCUCCCAUUCCCUGCAAAUCACCAAUCUACUUUGUGUCUCUAUGAAUUUGUCUGUUCUGGAUAUUUUAUAUAUGGAAUCAUAUACCAAGUGGCCUUUUGUAACUGGCUUCUGUCACUUAGUGCAGUGUUUUCAAGGUUUAUCCAUUUUGUAGCAUGACUGGCAAGGACUUCAUUCAUUUUUAACAAUGAACAAUAUUGCAUUGUAUGAAUAUACCACAUUUUCUUCAUCCAUUCACUCAUCGAUGGACACUUGGGUUGUUUCCACUCUUUGGCUAUUGUGAAUAAUGCUCUAUGAAUAUUCAUCCACUGUACAAGAUUUUGUGCAAAUAUGUUUUCAGUUUGCUGUGGUUUAAAUGUGUCCCCAAAGGGUCAUGUCUUGGAAACUUAAUUUCCAAUGCAACAGUGUUGGGAGAUGGAACCUAAUGGGAGGUGUUUAGGUUCUGAGGGCCCUGCCCUCAUGAAUGGAUUAAUAUUGUUACUGUGGGAGUGGGUUAGUUUUUGCAGGAGUAGAUUUGUUAUAAAAGCGAGUUCAGCCCACUCUUGCCUUGUCUUGCUUUCUCUUGCCCAU
ensembl:lncRNA